rnacentral:rRNA from 1 species
AGAUUGAACGCUGGCGGCAUGCUUUACACAUGCAAGUCGAACGGCAGCACGGGGGCAACCCUGGUGGCGAGUGGCGAACGGGUGAGUAAUGCAUCGGAACGUAUCCUUGAGUGGGGGAUAACGCAGCGAAAGUUGUGCUAAUACCGCAUAAGCUCUGAGGAGGAAAGCGGGGGACCGAAAGGCCUCGCGCUGAAGGAGCGGCCGAUGUCCGAUUAGCUAGUUGGUUAGGUAAAGGCUUACCAAGGCGACGAUCGGUAGCUGGUCUGAGAGGACGACCAGCCACACUGGGACUGAGACACGGCCCAGACUCCUACGGGCGGCAGC